GCCUGGUAGUGGGGGAUAACGUUCGGAAACGGACGCUAAUACCGCAUACGUCCUACGGGAGAAAGCAGGGGACCUUCGGGCCUUGCGCUAUCAGAUGAGCCUAGGUCGGAUUAGCUAGUUGGUGAGGUAAUGGCUCACCAAGGCGACGAUCCGUAACUGGUCUGAGAGAAAAAUCAGUCACACUGUAUUUGGGACACGGUCCAGACUCCUACGGGAGGCAGCAGUGGGGAAUAUUGGACAAUGGGCGAAAGCCUG
rnacentral:rRNA from 1 species